rnacentral:rRNA from 1 species
GACGAACGCUGGCGGCGUGCCUAAUACAUGCAAGUCGAACGCAUUUUCUUUCACCGUAGCUUGCUACACCGAAAGAAAAUGAGUGGCGAACGGGUGAGUAACACGUGGGUAACCUGCCCAUCAGCGGGGGAUAACACUUGGAAACAGGUGCUAAUACCGCAUAAUUCCAUUUACCGCAUGGUAGAUGGAUGAAAGGCGCUUUUGCGUCACUGAUGGAUGGACCCGCGGUGCAUUAGCUAGUUGGUGGGGUAACGGCCUACCAAGGCUGCGAUGCAUAGCCGACCUGAGAGGGUGGUCGGCCACACUGGGACUGAGACACGGCCCAGACUCCUACGGGAGGCAGCAGUAGGGAAUCUUCGGCAAUAGACACAAGUCUGACCGAGCAACGCCGCGUGAGUGAAGAAGGUUUUCGGAUCGUAAAACUCUGUUGUUAGAGAAGAACAAGGAUGAGAGUGGAAAGUUCAUCCCUUGACGGUAUCUAACCAGAAAGCCACGGCUAACUACGUG